rnacentral:lncRNA from 1 species
UUCUUACACUACAAGUCACCAUGUACAUUUUCAUCAAGUCCAUUUUACAUCAGAAAACCCUAGUCUAAAAUCUACAUUUGACUUUGGUCAACUAAUUGACCAAAGUCAACCAUCCAUUCAUAAGUCCACAUCAUCUUGACCUUGGUACCCUUGAUCAUAUCGAUUCUCCAUACCAUUUUGUUCAACUCAUAUCAUCAUUUUUUAACAAGCCAAAAUAAUUCAUUUUUUUGUUUUUAUUACUAACUUCUUAACAUAAGUAAACCUAAACCUAACAUUGUUUUUAUUUCUCAUUUCAAGUAUUUCUAACAUAACUAUCCAUACAUUCAAUAAAAUUCCAUACACAUAAUUCAUUUAACAUUCCUAUAAUCCAAUACAUUCAAAUACUCCAAUUUAACAUUCCAUGACAUUGAUUCCAUACGGUCCAAAUUUUCUAGUAUAGCAAAACCAUCCCAUAACUCAAGUCCAUAAGCAUUAAUUUCAUAAUUCCAAUCCAAUUCAACAUAGUCCAUGACAAUUGUUUACCAAUUCCACUUCAAUUUAUGUGCAGCCCUUAUGUGUUUCCAACAACUCAACAUACCAAUUCAAAAAUGCAUAGCAGAGCUCACUUCAACAUUGCAACCUGCAAAAAUAACUCCAUAACCCAAUCCCCACUUCACUUCAAUUUCACGUAGGCCUGUCCAAACAUCAAAACACAUAGCAUAAAAUUCAACAAAAACAAGUUUGACCUGCAAUCUUCAUAACUUCCUUCGUAACGCAUCACCCUGCAUUUUUUUCAACAACAUACAAUUAGAAGCUCCUUCAUAACUAACAGAAGAGCUAAAAACAAUACACCUCGCAUAUCAUUCGUUCAACAGAGCACAUUUGAAGUCCACCAUAACUAACUGAGACACCACACGGAAUCACAAUCACUAACUGAAUUGAAACUGCUAACUAGCUAAAUCUAACCGAAUGUUUCACGAUGAACUGAACCCAAGCUUCUCAGAAUUAACAGAGUUUUCACUCUGUUAAAUCAAGGAUAGUAUAUAAACACAAUUUCGGAGUUGGAAGUGAGGUUUUAAAGGAAACGCAAAUGAACAGAUUUCGUUCUGGCUACCGAGUUCAUACGCG